rnacentral:rRNA from 1 species
AUUGAACGCUGGCGGCAGGCCUAACACAUGCAAGUCGAACGAGUGGCGGACGGGUGAGUAAUGUCUGGGAAACUGCCUGAUGGAGGGGGAUAACUACUGGAAACGGUAGCUAAUACCGCAUAACAUCGGAUUUGCCCAGAUGGGAUUAGCUAGUAGGCGGGGUAAAGGCUAACCUAGGCGACGAUCCCGAGCUGGUCUGAGAGGAUGACUAGCCACCCUGGAACUGAGCCACGUUCCAGACUCCUCCGGGGGGCAGCAGUGGGGAAUAUUGCACAAUGGGCGCAAGCCUGAUGCAGCCAGGCCGCGGGUAUGAAGAAGUCCGUAGGGUUGUAAAGUACUUUCAGCGGGGAGGCGUUACCCGCAGAAGAAGCACCGGCUAACUCCGUGCCAGCCGCCGCGGUAAUAC